rnacentral:misc_RNA from 1 species
AGAAAAAGGCCAGCAAAAAGAUGCCGGUUCAACAGCGUCAACUGCUGUUCUUUUAGGUGAUAGAUUGCUUGUCGCAAAUGUGGGGGACUCUAGAGUCGUGGCUUGCAGAGAUGGUUCAGCUAUUCCUUUGUCCAUUGAUCACAAGCCUGACAGAUCAGAUGAGCGUGAAAGGAUAGAACAGGCCGGUGGUUUCAUUAUCUGGGCAGGUACAUGGCGUGUAGGUGGGGUCCUUGCUGUUUCUCGUGCAUUUGGAGAUAAAAUGCUAAAGCCAUAUGUUGUGGCAGACCCAGAGAUUCAGGAAGAAGAAA